rnacentral:rRNA from 1 species
AUUGAACGCUGGCGGCAGGCCUAACACAUGCAAGUCGAACGGUAACAGGAAGCAGCUUGCUGCUUCGCUGACGAGUGGCGGACGGGUGAGUAAUGUCUGGGAAGCUGCCUGAUGGAGGGGGAUAACUACUGGAAACGGUAGCUAAUACCGCAUAAUGUCGCAAGACCAAAGAGGGGGACCUUCGGGCCUCUUGCCAUCGGAUGUGCCCAGAUGGGAUUAGCUUGUUGGUGGGGUAACGGCUCACCAAGGCGACGAUCCCUAGCUGGUCUGAGAGGAUGACCAGCCACGCUGGAACUGAGACACGGUCCAGACUCCUACGGGAGGCAGCAGUGGGGAAUAUUGCACAAUGGGCGCAAGCCUGAUGCAGCCAUGCCGCGUGUAUGAAGAAGGCCUUCGGGUUGUAAAGUACUUUCAGCGGGGAGGAAGGGAGUAAAGUUAAUACCUUUGCUCAUUGACGUUACCCGCAGAAGAAGCACCGGCUAACUCCGUG